rnacentral:rRNA from 1 species
AUGAAUCUUUUAAGCCCGAAUUGCUGGGGGGGGGGGUGCUCUCGAACAAUUCAUGAUCUUUUUCCCCUUGUGCACACCCACUCCUACAAAUUGAUGUUCUUAUGUUAGACUAGGCAGAAAAGGGGGAAAGGGAAAAUAUACAGGGCUAGUCUUAGUUUAAGAGGUUUUGAACGUGUUAGUGGUAAUGGUAACUGUGGUGGGUUAGCUCUUUAUUGGCAUGAAUCUAUCAGUGUAAGUGUUCAAGCCGCUCAAGAUAGAUAUAUAGGUGCAUUUAUUUGUUGUUCGUAUGAUGAACCAGUCUAUGGUGAACCUAGAGCCGAGAAUACACACUUGAUGUGGUCAGCUAUUGAGACCUAA